GAUGAACGCUGGCGGCGUGCCUAAUACAUGCAAGUCGAGCGAACGGACGAGAAGCUUGCUUCUCUGAUGUUAGCGGCGGACGGGUGAGUAACACGUGGAUAACCUACCUAUAAGACUGGUAUAACUUCGGGAAACCGGAGCUAAUACCGUAUAAUAUUUUGAACCGCAUGGUUCAAAAGUGAAAGACGGUCUUGCUGUCACUUAUAGAUGGAUCCGCGCUGCAUUAGCUAGUUGGUAAGGUAACGGCUUACCAAGGCAACGAUGCAUAGCCGACCUGAGAGGGUGAUCGGCCACACUGGAACUGAGACACGGUCCAGACUCCUACGGGAGGCAGCAGUAGGGAAGCUUCCGCAAUGGGCGAAAGCCUGACGGAGCAACGCCGCGUGAGUGAUGAAGGUCUUCGGAUCGUAAAACUCUGUUAUUAGGGAAGAACAUAUGUGUAAGUAACUGUGCACAUCUUGACGGUACCUAAUCAGAAAGCCACGGCUAACUACGUG
rnacentral:rRNA from 1 species